CGGAGUUGGCCGACUCUUGGCACGGGCGUAACCACUGAAAACGUUCACCGAUUUGAAUCCAUUAAAAAUGGCCAAUACAUUCAAACGAAUGGCCGUUAGAAUUUAAAAUAUAAAAUGGAUUUCCAUAGCGAAUGAUUCCUGACAUGAUAUAUCCAUCAGAAUUGGCUUGGUGCCGGGGAUCGGUGUGUUCGGUUUCAAGAAAAACUCUGUGUGUGUGUGUGUGUGUGUAUAUAUAUACACACACAAACACACACACACACUAUAACCUCAAUUCAGUGUUUUCAUCAAGACUCCUGAAAAAACUAUGGAUACAGGAAAAUAAUUCACACAGAGGCUAUAUAAAAUGAAAAAAAAAAUGAAAAUUAG
rnacentral:lncRNA from 1 species